AUUGAACGCUGGCGGCAGGCCUAACACAUGCAAGUCGAGCGGAUGAAGGGAGCUUGCUCCUGGAUUCAGCGGCGGACGGGUGAGUAAUGCCUAUGAAUCUGCCUGGUAGUGGGGGAUAACGUCCUGAAACGGGCGCUAAUACCGCAUACGUCCUGAGGGAGAAAGUGGGGGAUCUUCGGACCUCACGCUAUCAGAUGAGCCUAGGUCGGAUUAGCUAGUUGGUGGGGUAAAGGCCUACCAAGGCGACGAUCCGUAACUGGUCUGAGAGGAUGACCAGUCACACUGGAACUGAGACACGGUCCAGACUCCUACGGGAGGCAGCAGUGGGGAAUAUUGGACAAUGGGCGAAAGCCUGAUCCAGCCAUGCCGCGUGUGUGAAGAAGGUCUUCGGAUUGUAAAGCACUUUAAGUGGGGAGGAAGGGCAGUAAGUUAAUACCUUGCUGUUUUGACGUUACCAACAGAAUAAGCACCGGCUAACUUCGUG
rnacentral:rRNA from 1 species